rnacentral:rRNA from 1 species
AACGUAGGUGGCGAGCGUUAUCCGGAUUUACUGGGCGUAAAGGGCGUGUAGGUGGUUUGGCAAGUCGGGCAUGAAAUCUUUUGGCUCAACCGAGAGAGGCUGUCCGAUACUGCUGGACUUGAGGACGGGAGAGGGUGGUGGAAUUCCGCGUGUAGUGGUGAAAUGCGUAGAGAUGCGGAGGAACACCAGUGGCGAAAGCGGCCACCUGGCCCGGCCCUGACACUGAAACGCGAAAGCUAGGGUAGCGAACGGG